CUCUUCAGAGUUAAAGGCUUUCAAACAUCUGAAUUUGCCUUUAAUAUUUUUUCUGACUGUGCAGAAGUGGCUUCUGCUUUCCCGACCCUCACAAAAAGCCUUGCCAAAACGUACAGAAACCCACCUCUGGUGUUCUCAUAUUGAACAGAUGAAUACAGAUGAUCUUGCUUUGUGAUUUGAAAUGAGGACUUUGUCUCUCCUUUCCUUCACUUACAAAUGGUAUGAAGACAUUCUCUGUGAUGUCUGUCUGACUGAAGGUAGCAGAAGGAGUAAAACUGGGAAAGUUGAAUACGUUCAAUGCACUUAAAGAAGCCUGGAAGUUAAUGACAUCAUUGGCAGACAGCUCUGGCCUCGUGCAUCUGGAGAUCCAAACAGCCCUGCUUGAUGCUGGCACAUUUUGGUGUGAGUGUCAGGACAUGGUGACCAUGAUGUGCUUGACCAAACUUGGUGCUGACAUUUGGGACCUGAGGAGGUGUCUGAGACCGGUAGAAGGGAGCUGACAUGACACCAGUGCCGCUCCCAGAGGUAUGUACUUGGGAUGGCAGGGCCCUGGAGCAGCCAGGGCUGCAUGGUGGCAGUGGCAGCUCCAUGUGAACACACAGCCAGGGCCUGUGUGUCCAUUUUAUGAAUUUUUUCACAGACCUCCUAGAAAAU
rnacentral:lncRNA from 1 species